UUGCAGUUAAAAAGCUCGUAGUUGGAUUUCUGGGAUUCUCGAACUUGUCCGCCGAAAGGUGAGCACGGGUUUGAGGUCUCAUCCUGCUGACAGUGACCUUUGCUCUAUGAGCUGAGGCUCGCUUCAGCACCUUUACUUUGAAAAAAUUAGAGUGUUCAAAACAGGCUUACGCUUGAAUACAUUAGCAUGGAAUAAUGGAAUAGGACUCUGUCUUAUUUCGUUGGUUUUCAAGACUAGAGUAAUGAUUAAUAGGGACAGUUGGGGGCAUUAGUAUUUAAUUGUCAGAGGUGAAAUUCUUGGAUUUAUGAAAGACUAACUUCUGCGAAAGCAUUUGCCAAGGAUGUUUUCAUUAAUCAAGAACGAAAGUUAGGGGAUCGAAGACGAUCAGAUACCGUCGUAGUCUUAACCAUAAACGAUGCCGACUAGGGAUCGGUAGAUCUUAUUUAAUGAGUCUAU
rnacentral:rRNA from 1 species